AAACAUAAAUGUGUUUGUCUUACUACAAU
rnacentral:piRNA from 1 species